UUCAUGGAGUACACUAAAGAGGAAGCUGCUAGUACAGCACUCAAAGAGAUGAAUGGCAAGAUCAUUAAUGGCUAGAUGAUAGUUGUUGAUGUUGCCAAGACCAAUCCACCAAGAUACAGCAGGAGCCGUCCAAGAUAGGAAUAAUCCCACAGAUA